CUUCACCGCCUCUCCGCCUUCUCCACCUCUGAAAAUACCCUUAUCAUUUCCAAAUGCUUAGCUCCAUCUCCUUCUACUGUGGGUGAUGAAUUAUCGUCAUCGUGGUAAUGGCGUGGCUUUCCUUCUCAGCUUGCAGAAGUAAGUGUUUUCCUAUCCCCUUUUUCUUUUUCUUCAUCUCAGCUGGUUUUGAAAUCUACUCAUGUCAUUUUACAGAAGUGUGUUCCGGUGGAAGUGUAAGAGCUUGAAAAAUCUCCAAAUCGAGUUUGAACCCUGCAUCCUAACUUUGUAGUUCACAGUAAACCUCUCAUUCUUGUUCUAUCUACCUUAUUCUCCUCUACUGAUUACUGAACUUUCAUUUUUAUAUAGAUGAAGUGGAAGUGGAGAAAACUUAGUUGCUCCCGACCUCCUUCUCUUGGAACUCUUAGUUAGGUGUAGUCACUUUAUGGAAGAUAUGAUUCCAUAGCCCUUCUUUUUUGCUAGUGUUGCUUUUUCUUUGCUAAUGUAGCUUCGGCUAAUUAGCUUUUUAGAUAGUCAUUAUUCCAUUGUGUAAGCCACAAACAUUAUUGUAAAUAUAAUGGUUGUGAGACACUGUGGUGUUUCCUUGUUUCAUCUGUUUAAAAUCUUAAUUGUUCUAACUUCGAUGUUCGGAAUGUUAAUUAAUCUUUUUUUUGUACUUGGUAAAUGAUUGUAAUUUCUUAAUUAAAGUACGCCUUAUUGUUCUAUUGUUGUAUUUGUGAGAUAAUUUGCUAACUUAUUGGCCUCCCUGAAUACAUGAAUUAUGUUAGUGUUAAUCCUUUGCAUCAGUUCUCUUAUUUCCUCCACUACAUUAAUCAACAUCCAAGGGACCUUUCAUUCCUUUCUAAUCAUUUUUGUAAGCCCGAGUGAGUCAAUUUGUAGUUGUACAUUAUCCAUCUCUUGAAUCAGAUAGUAUUUGAGUGCCUUUAGUAUAGCUAUUGACUCUGCUUCCAUAUUGGUAGAAAUUCCUAGGCUUUGUGCUUCUACAUAGAUUAAUUCUCCUUCACUGUUUCUAACACAAAAAUCAUAGGAGCUAAUGCUUGGAUUACCCUUGCUUGCACCAUCUGUGUUACAUGUCACCCAACCUAUUUUUGGCCUCCUUCAUUUCACUAUAAUGUAGUGAAGUAUAGGUGAAUAUAUUUGCAAUGUAUCCAUCAUAGCAGGCCAUCUCAAGGGACCAUUAUUUAUCUAUGAAAAAUGCACUUUAAAUAGAUGAAAUAUAUUCAUUGUGUAUUGUUGUUUCAUUUUAUUAAGUAUAAUAUCUUUCCCAUAUUUUCUAUAGUUUCUUCUUUUCUAUAGUUCCCACAUCAACAAUGCUAGAAUUGCCUUGGUAAUCAGCUUUAUUUUUGGAUUUUCUUGAUAAUUACACUACUUGAAAAUAAGCUGAUGUAAGUUGAGACCAUCCAUCUUAAUACCUGCAUAAGAAGCAAACUGCCUUCUUAACUUUUGAGCUAUGGGGGUUGUUAAUAAUAAAUAAUGCAUUGUUUUCAUUUCUCCUUCUUCACAGCAGUAACAUUUUGAGAUAAUCUGAAUUUUCAUCCUCUUCGAAUUGUCAUCAGAAUCUAUUCAUUUUCUCCUACCUCCAAAGGAAAAAAGCCAUCUUCAAAGGUAAAACUCUUAGCCAGAUAUUCUUUAUCUAUUCAAUCCUAUCUCUCAUGUGGCUCAUGAUCUAGUAAGUUAAUUUGAAUGCAAAAAUGCCUUUGCCUCCCCAUCCACUAAUGUCAUUUUUGCUAGAUCAAUUGUAGUCUUGAUGUUUUCCAAAAUGUUCAAAACUAUUUCUUCAGAUAAGUACUCUUUUAACUUAUCCACAUUCCACUCUACAUUAGUAAUUAACUCUUUUACCCCUAUUUCAUCUUCACUAAUAUUUUGGCCUUCAACAUGAUAUUGUGCCCCUUGUCUUAUCCAGUAAUCAAACCAAAAACUUGAAUUUCCAGCCUUAAUCUGCCACUAAAUCUCAUGCUCUAUCACCUCUCUUACCUCCAACAUCCUUUUACAUACAUGAGAUACACCAGUAUUUCUUGUAAUGGUUGGAUGAAGAUUUUUAUAGUAUUUAUUUCCUAUAUAAUUACUCCAUAAAGAUAAUGUUGAGAUCCUAAAACUCCACCACAGUUUGGCAAAUAAAGCCUUUGAUACUUCAUGUAAGGACCUGAAUCUUAUUCCUUUUUCUUCCUUAGAAUAACACAUAUCUUCCCAAGCUACUCAGUGCUUCCUCCUCAUAUGUCCCGUAUUACCUCAAAAGAAUUUGGUAAAAAUCUGAUGCAAAUACUUAAUGACAUUCUUUGGUGGAUUCAUAGAAGAAAGAAUAUAUAUAGGCAUCGACUGUAGAACAUGAUUAAUAAGAAUGUACUUUCCUCCAAAGUUCAAAAGCUUUUUUUUUUCAAGAUAAAAGCCUCUUAGUCAUCUUCCUUAACAAAUCUUCAUAAUAAGCUUUAUUCUUCCUGCCAUAAAAAAUUGGACAUCCCAUAUAAUGAAAGGACUUUUGAGCCUGAUUUUCACAAUCAAUGGAGUUUUAUCAUGCAGAUAGAAAAAACUGUUCCUUUUAUUAAUCAGUUGUACAAAGGUGUUUUCAUAAUCUCUCAAUACUCUUAUUAUUUUGGUGAUAGAAAUUCCAUCUCCUGACUAAAAUAGAAUAGUAUCAUCAACAUAUGAGAGAUGAUUUAUCUCUAGGUUCCACUUUAGUAAUCCAUAUUCCUUGAAUUCAUUAUCUCUAUGUAAUUCAGUUAGGCCUCUAGACAAUAUUUCUGCAGCAGUAAGGGAAAGUAUAGUAGAUAAAGAAUCUCCUUGUUUCACUUCUCUUGAGGAUUGAAAAAAAUCAUAUGAGUGUCCAUUAAUUAAUAUAGAGUACCAGUUAUUAGAUAUCAGCCUCUAGAGCAUGUCUAUAAUCAACUCUGAAAAAUCAAAUUUCCUUAGAACUUUUGUACGAAAAAUCCAUGAUACUCUGUCAUAUGAUUUUGCCAUAUUUAAUUUCACCACAAUAUUAGUAUUAUAUUUUCUCAAAUUGAUGUCUCUAAUGAUCUUUUGUGCUAAAAGCACAUUUUCUGUUAUGCUGCUUCUUUUUACGAAACCAGCCUAGAUUUUAGAAAUGAUAUAAGGGAGCAUCCUACCCAUUCUUUCAUGUAGCACUCUAAAGACAAUUUUGUUAGCAAAAGUACUUAGAUUUAUUGUAAUGCAACGAGUCUGUAACCCAGAUGCUACAUGGUGCUUAUGAUCCCCAGGGACCACAAGCUAACCUAUAACUGAUAUCUGUUGUAAGUACAGAAUAAUAAUAUUAUAAUAAUACAAAAAAUAGUCUGAAAUUCCAUAAGGUUCACAAUUUGAAUACUGAUAAAGAAUAACAACUGUAAUAACAUCUGGUAAAAUAUCUGAAAUGUGAAUACUGUCUGAACUAGUUUAGUUUGAAAAGCCUCUAGCUGAACUGUCUGAAAGUACAGUUGAUGGGACAAGCCCCCAACUAACUCCGACUACUGAAAUACUAAAAUAAAAAUAUAUCCUCGAUAGAUGAGGACUCACUAUUGAAUCUACUAAUGCUAUCUAAAUCUGUCUAUACGCGGUCAGGAACCCAAUCAUUCGAACCUAUGAUAUGAGACAUCAUAGCAUAAGAGAAAGCAUGCGUCAGUACUUGGAAUAUACUGGUAUGCUAGAUGAGGUAAAUCUGAAUGCAAGGAUUCAUAUGCAUGAACAAUAACUGACUGAAUGAUAUAUAGAAACUAAAUAAUAGGACAUGGAUAACUGAAACUGCUGUAAAUACUGAGUAUGCAGUACUGUGCAUAUACAUGUGUACUGUAUCUAAGCUUUAACUGAAGCCGAGUACUAAAUUCUUAUAACUAAGUAACUCAUAGCUGAGUGACUGUAUCUGACAGUCCUGAUUCUGUAGAACUGAAUUAAGUUCUAUACUAAGACUAAAACUGAAAAUGUGAGAGGUAAUCAUUUAACCAACAUGCCCCUUUCUGAAUAGAUUUGGGGUCAAACUUAUAACCCCAGCUGGAAGGGUGUCACUACUAUACCAUGGGUAAAUACAAGCUGAAGAGUCACCCUCGUCUAGAAGGUACCCUGAAUGAGAACAGUGGUACCCUCAACUGGCAAGUUAAAACGCCUCAUCAACCCUCAAUUGGUAGGUUGAUGUCUCAACCUACACUGGAUAUGUAGUUUAGGAAUGCAAAGACCAAUUCUAAGGAUCACACGCUCUACUGCCAUGAGAUCCCCGAUCCUCGGGUUUACUCGAUGCUGAAUCCUACUCUUAUAUGAAGGAUACUGAUUAUUAUACUAGACUAAAAUGGACUUUGUACUGAUUUUCAUUGAGUUCUAUAACUGACUGAGUACUACUAACCGUGACAUUUUUGAAAUUAUUCUGUAACAACUGUAGCUCUAGAUAAACAACUAGAUUUUUCUGGUAUUGAAUACCCCCAGGACUCGAUAGCAUGGAAAGUAAAGAAUAGCAUGAUCUUGAAAAGAAUAACAAUGUUUACUUGUUCAUAACUCAUUCAUAGAGAUAUUUUAUCAAACACUUGUAGGACAUAAGCUCGUACAUAUGCUAGCAUGUCAUAAUUUCACCAUUUAAUUCACAUGGACAUUCUAUCAAACACUUGAGGAGCACAACCUAAUGCAUAUAAUCAUGGACAAUGUAUAACAUUGCAAUUACCACACCCAAACUUGCAAAUACAAGGGUUCUAACAUGGAAAUUACCAAAUUUAGUAUACAUGCUAUUUCAACUUCAUAGAACUUACAAUUAAUCAUGGAUUGAAACUCAGUUAAUGUCAUGAACAUAAAUACAAUCCAAUUUAAGCAUGUAAAUCAUGAAUCAUUAAGCUUGUAGUUUAAAAAGGGAUUCUUGGACUCUAUGGGUGAAAGGAACCCAUAGUUGAACACCUAACAUACCUGAGAAAAUUAAUUCUUGAAGGUUCUUGGAGGGAUUCUUGAGAAUUGUUCUUGUUUUCUUGAAAACUAAGGUUUACUAAUUGAAAGAGAAUGUUUUUAAGCUCACUGGAAGCUGGAAAACAGGAAAAUGGAAGCUUGGCGCGAUACGGUACAAUCAUAGUACCCCAUUGUAUGCGAAUUUAACCCUUGGCACAACGUGGCAUGAUCACGAAGUCACACUGGAAAGUCACACUUGGGAAAAUGGCAAGUGGCACGAUGCAGUGGGAUCACGAUGGCUCACUGGAUUUCGACAAUUGCCAUUUGUACCCUCUCUGUGACGUGGUGAAGUAUCAGGUGUUACACUAUUUUACUAAAAAUGCUAUAACUCUUCGUCCCGGUAUCGAAUUCGGGCGAAUUUUAUAUUGUUGUAAAGAUGUCUGAAUUUUUUUAUGCAAUGAUAUGUCUUGAACUGAAGAAUUCUAAGUUUUUUAAAAUUUUAUAUAGAAAUACUCAUGUACUGAGAGUUAAACUAAGUUAGAUAUAUACGGUGUAUUAUAAUAUCUCCCCCUUGGGAAAAUCCAUCCUCGAAUGAGACUGAUAAGCUGAAAAACACUAAUAGACUGAGUUUACACACUAAACAUGCACAGCUGAAACAUGGUUGUAUGACUAAAAUCACUGAUAAGCUGAGGUUUUAUACUUAUUAUGCAUAUCUGAUACAUGAGUACAUGGCUGAACAGAUUCAUGAAUACAUGACUGUCAUGAAGAUGUUAUGCAAAGGUAAUGAUUACCAAGUCUAUAACCGUAACUGAACAUAGAACUGAGUAAAUAUAAGGAAGACUGUUACAUCAAGUUUAAUCUAAGUUUGCGGAGAAGAGGUGAGGAUACUUGGUUCGCAUAUCUGCUUCUGUUUCCCAAGUAGCUCCCUCAAAGGAUUUAUUCUACCAAAGAACUUUGACCAAGGGAACUUCGUUGUUCCUCAGUCUGUGAAUCUAAUGAUCAAGGAUUUGGAUUGGGACCUCUUCGAAAGAGAGAUAAUUUUAAAUGUCUAUGCCCGCUAAGGGAACUAUGAUUGUUGGGUCACCAAUGCAUUUCUUUAGCAUGGAGAUGUGGAAUACUAGGUGCACUGAGGCUAGAUCUGAAAGCAACUCAAGCUCGUAAGAUACCUUUUCGAAAUGACUGAGAAUUCUAUAAGGACUGACAUAUCAAGGACUAGGCUUUCCCUUUUUUCCGAACCUCUUUACCUCCUUCAUGGGCGAGAAUUUCAAGUACACAAAAUUACCAACCUCAAACUUGAGAUCUUUACUCCUUAUAUUUGCAUACGAUUUCUGCUGGCUCUGGGUUGCCCUAUGCCUUUCUCUGAUCAACUAAACCUUCUUUAAGGCAUAGAAGAUGAGAUCGGGCCCUACUACUAUAACCUCACCUACCUUGAACCAACCAAUUAGUGAUCUACAUCUCUUAUCAUAAAGAGACUCAAACGGAACCAUAUGAAUACUAGAAUGAUAAUUGUUAUUCUAUGUGAAUUCAAUCAAAGGUAAGUGGUCAUCCCAACUACCUCUAAAAUCAAUCAAGCAUGCUCUUAACAUACCUUCUAGAGUCUGAAUGAUCCUUUCUUCUUGACUAUUUAUCUGAGGGUGAAAGGUUGUACUGAGGUGAACUUGGGUACCAAGACCCUUUUGGAAUGCUUUCCAAAAGUGAGAGGUAAAUUGGGUACCUCUAUCUAAGAUGAUGGAUACUGGGACUCUGUGUAAUCUGACCAACUCUUUGACAUAGAGUUUGGCAUAGUCCUCGACUAAAUAUGAGGUAUGGAAUAGAAAGAAAUGAACUGAUUUGGUCAUCCUGUCUACAAUGACCCAAAUUGAAUCAUAAUGAUGAUGAGUACGAGGCAAACCCAUCACAAAGUCCAUGUUCACUUCUUCCCAUUUCUAUGUAGGAAUAUUGAACUCCUGCAUAGACCCACUAGGCUUCUGGUGUUCAACCUUAACCUACUGACAUGUAGAGAACUUAGAUACAGACUCUGCAAUAUCCCUUUUUAUUCUACUUUACCAAUAUAUCUCCCACAAAUCACGGUAUAUCUUAGUAGCCCCUGGAUGAAUUGAGUUCCAUGGACCAUGCACUUCUGCAAGAAUUUGCUGCCUCAAGUCAUCUAUGCCUGGCACAUAUAACCGACCCUGGCAACGCAGCACACCAUCUUUCCCUUAGGAGAAAACCUAUACUUUUUGAUCUCUGACUAACUUUUUCAACUUAACUAGACUGGGAUCUCUGUCUUGCUUUUCCUUUACUUUGAAAACCAAAGAUGAUUCAGAAUUAUUCUGCACCCAUACACUACCCUCUACUGAAUCAACUAAGAGAACACCUAGUCGUAAAAGCUGAUGAACUUCAUGAACUAACUUCUUCUAACCAUUCUCAACAUGAGCCACACUAUCCAUAGAAUACUUAAUGAGAGCAUCUGCCUUUACAUUGACCUUGCUCGGAUGAUACAAAAUACUCAUAUCAUAAUCUUUUAACAACUCUAACCAUCUUCUCUGGCAUAAAUUCAAAUAUUUCUGAGAGAACAUAUACUGCAAGCUUUUGUGAUCUGUGAACUAAUCGACAUGCACCCUAUACAAAUAAUUCCUCCAGAUCUUUAAGGCAAAUACUACAGUUGUUAGCUCAAGAUCAUGGAUAGGGUAAUUCUUCUCAUGAGACUUAAUCUGUCUAGAGGCAUAGGCUACGACCUUACCUCUCUGCAUGAGGACACAACCAAACCUACUCUAGACUUAUCACAAAUACAACAACCCAUAUGAACCAUCUGGUAACGUUAGAACCGAGCUGAGGUAAGUCGAGUCUUCAACUUCUAAAAAUUUUUCUCGCAAGAAUCUGACCACUAAAACUUAAAUUUCUUCUGAAUCAAUCUAGACAUGGGGGAUUCUAUAGAUGAAAACCAUCUAAAAAUUUGACGAUAAUAGCCAUAUAAACCUAAGAAACUCCUGAUAUCUAAUGGGGAAAUGGGUCUAGCCUAGUUUCUCACUGCUUCAGUCUCUUAAGGAUCAAAUCUAAUACCAUCAUCGGAAAUAAUCUGACCAAGUAAUGGUACUGACCUUAGCCAAAAUUCACACUUACUAAAUUUGGCCAAUAAUUGAUGGGCUCUAAGAGUCUGAAGUACAAUUAUGAGGUGAUUUUCAUGAUCAUUCUCCCUAUGGGAAUAGACAAGAAUGUCAUCGAUGAAGACUAUAAUGAAUAUGUCCAAGUAAUGCUUGAUCAUGCAAUUUAUUAAGUCCAUGAAGGCUGUUGGGGCAUUAGUGAGACCAAAGGAUAUGACUAGAAACUCGAAGUGACCAUACCAGGUUCGGAAAGCUAUUUUUGAAAUGUCACAUUCUCUGACUCUGAGCUGAUUAUAGCCUGAUCUGAGGUCUAUCUUAGAAAACUAACUAGCGUUCUGAAGUUGUCCAAAUAAGUCAUUAAUUCUAGAAAGUUGGUAUUUAUUCUUGACUGUGACUUUAUUCAACUGACUGUAGUCUAUACAAAUCCUGCAAGAAUCAUCUUUCUUACAUACAAAUAAGACUUGUGCGCCCCAUAGGGAAAUGCUAGGUCUGAUGAACCCCUUGUCUAAAAGGUUCUUUAAUUGCUCUUUUAACUCUCUAAGUUUAUUUGGUGCUAUUCUGUAUGGAAGAGUAGAUAUAGGCUGAGUAUCUAGAAGAAGGUCUAUUCCAAAGUCAAUUUUCCUUUUGGGAGAAACUCUAGGAAGAUCUUUGGGAAAUAUAUCUGAGAAUUCAUUCACUACUGGAACUGACUCAAAACUAGAAGUCUCUAAACUAGAGUCUUUGACUCAUAUGAUAUGAUAGACACAUCCCUUGGAUAUCAUUCUUCUCUCUCUAAGGUAUGAAAUCAACUGACCCUUGAGCAUUGUAGCACUACCCCUCCAUUCUAGGAUUGGUUCAUUUUGAAACUAAAAAUAAACAAUUCUAUUUCUACAAUCAACUGAGGCAUAGCAUGAAUGGAGCCAAUUUAUACUAAGAAUAACGUUGAAAUAUGUUAUCUCUAACUCUACUAAGUCUGCUAAAGUGAAUUUCUAAGAUAUCAUAACUGGACAGUUCAUGUAUACCCACCGGGCUAUGAUAGAAUGACCCAGUAAGGUACAGACUAAGAAGGGUUUUGUUAAGACUUUUGGUUUGACCUUAAAGUUGGAUUUUAUGUAAGGAGUUACAAAAGAUAGAGAAGCUCUUAGAUUUAACAAGGCAUAAAUAUGUAAAUAGAAGAUAUUUAACGUACCAGUGACCACAUUAGCAAAACUUUUUUGAUCUUGUCGAGACUGAAGUGCAAAGAUCCUAUUUAGUUGUUGCCCACUGGUGGAACUCAAAGUGGCACCUUGUUGAUUCGGGCGAUCGUACUGAGCUGAAGGAAGAUUGUACUAACCCUGAGAACCUGAAUAAGGACAAUCUCUGAUUCUGUCUCCUGGAUUGCCACACCCGAAACAAACACCACUGCUAGCUCUGCAGAAACCCUGAUGGUUUCCACCAUAUUUCUAACAAAGAGGAUUUGUUCGAGCAUUGCUGACACUACCCUGAGAUUUAAAGCCUGGCACCCUAUAUUUUUUACCAUUUCUGAACUUAGGGAUUGGAGCACUGGCUAAGGACAGAGCUGGAACUAAAUAUUUUAGUUGAUACUGGGAAUGGUUACCAUACUCUGAUUUAGGCUGAGUGAAAUUAAAGCUACUGGUUCUGUCUCUCUUGCCUUCCCUCUCUCUCUCUCCUUAUUCUUAGCCUCUUUUAUAUUGUGAGCAUGGACCAUGAGUCUAGAUAUGUCCAUCUCCUUAAUUAACAUCACAGUUCUGCACUCCUAAACCACACUCUCUAAUACCUCAUAUACGAACUUGUUCAUUCUGGACCUAACCUAUUAUCUGCUACUACAUGGGGAGCAGACCUAGCUAAUGGAGUAAACUUAAGGGAAUACUCUUUCACAGCCAUGUUUCCUUGCUGGAGAUUGAUAAAAUCUAACACCUUGGCUUCUCUCAGCUCUAAGGAAAAGAAUCUAUCUAGAAAGGCAGUAGCAAACUCUUCCCAUUCUAUGGGCUCUGCAUCUGUUCCCCUGUCUACCUUCCACUAUUUAAACCAUGUAUGAGCUGCAUCCAUUAGCUGAUAUGCAUCUAAAUCAGCACUCACACUAGAUGUCACUCCCAUAAUAUUUAUGACUAUCUGAACCUGGUCAAGGAACUCCUGUAGAUCCUCUUUGGGCUUAGAUCCUGAGAAUAGGGAAGGAAUCAUUCGGGUAAAGUCUUGAAUCCUAGCUACAGCAGUAUUGGACACUGGGUUGGCUUGAACCACAGUUGGUUUUUCAUUCUGAGUUGCUAUGGAAUUGGCUAAAGUGGUGAACGCAGCUCUAAAUUUUGCAUAGGAGACAUGCUCGUCUAGGGGAUCUGCCUGAAUGGGUUGAGGUGCUGACUUAUUUCCUGUUCUUCUUCCAUUAUUCUUUUUAGGAGGCAUGUUCUGUAAAUAGAAGUAAGAAAAGGAUCAAACUGAGAGUUUAACUUAAGCUUAUGCUUACUCAUACGACAUGUAUACGGAAAGAAGGGAAACUUUUCCUAAACACUUCUUGUAGCCUCUUGCCUAUAAGUGUGGCGUGCUAUACACCCAUGACAAGACUCUCCUGAUAUGGCUUUUAGACUCCCUAGGACUCAUUUGAACCUUAGGCUCUGAUACUAAGUUUGUAACGCCCCGAGUCUGCACCCUGGAUGCUACACGGUGCUUAUGAUCCCAAGGGACCGUAAGCUAACCCAUGACGGAUACCUGUUGUGAGCACUGAAUAAUAAUAGUGUAAUAAUGCAGAAAAUAGGCUAAAAUACCAUAAGGUUCACAAUUUGAAUACUGAUAAAGAAUAACAACUAUAAUAACAUCUAGUAAAAUAUUUGAAAUGUGAAAUACUGUCUAAACUAGUCUAGUCUGAAAAGCCUCUAGCUGAAUUGUCUGAAAGUAGAGUUGAUGGGACAAGCCCCCAACUAACUCCGACUACUAAAAUACUAAAAUAAAAACAUAUCCUCGAUAGAUGAGGACUUACUAUUGAAUCUACUACUACUAUCUGAAUCUGUCUAUGAGCGGUCAAGAACCCAAGCAUCCGAACCUAUGAUAUGAGACAUCAUAGCAUAAGAGAAAGUAUGCGUCAGUACGUGGACUGUACUGGUAUGCUAGAUGAGGUAAGGCUGAAUGCAAGGGUUCAUAUGCAUGAACAAUAACUGACUGAAUAAUAUAUAGAAACUAAAUAAUAGUACAUGGAUAAUUGAAAUUAUUGUAAAUACUGAGUAUGCAAUACUGUGCAUAUAUAUGUGUAUUGUAUCUAAGCUUUAACUGAAGCCGAGUACUGAAUUCUUAUAACUAAGUAACUUAUAAUUGAGUGACUGUAUCUGACAGUCCUGAUUCUGUAGAACUGAAUUAAGUUCUAUACUAAGACUAAAACUAAAACUGUGAGAGGUAAUCAUCUAACCGAUAUGCCCCUUUCUAAAUAUAUUUGGGGUCUAACCUGUAACUCCAGUUGGAAGGGUUCAUUACCGUGCCACGGGUAAAGACAAGCUGAAAAGUCACCCUCAUCUAACAAGUGCCCUAAAUAAAAAUAGUGGUACCCUUAACUGGUAGGUUAAAACACCUCAUUAACCCUCAACUAGAAGGUUGAUGUCUCAACCUAUGUUGGAUACGUAGUUUUAGAAUACAAGGACUGCUUCUAAGGAUCACACCUCUACUGGCAGGUGAGCCUCCGUCCUCUGAUUCACUCGGUGCUGAAUCCUACUCCCAUCUAAAGGACACUGAUUAUUAUAUUGGACUGAACUAGACUUUGUACUGAGUUUUACUGAGUUCUGUAACUGACUGAGUACUACUGACCAUGACAUUUUUGAAACUAUUCUGUAACUACUAUAGCUCUAGGUAAACAGUUAGAUUUUUUUAGGUAUUGAAUAUCCCCAGGACUCGAUAGCAUGGAAAGUAAAACAUAGCAUGAUCUUGAAAAGCAUAACAAUGUUUACUUGUUCAUAACUCAUUCAUAGAGACAUUUUAUCAAACACUUGUAGGACAUAAGCUCAUACAUAUGCUAGCAUGUCAUGUUUUCACCAUUUAAUUCACAUGGACAUUCUAUCAAACACUUGAGGAGCAGAACUUAAUGCAUAUAAUCAUGGACAACAUAUAACAUUGUAAUUACCAUGCCCAAACUUACAAAUUCAAGGGUUAUAACAUAGAAAUUAACCAAUUUAAUAUACAUGCUAUUUCAAUUUCAUAGAACUUACAAUUAAUCAUGGAUUGAAACUCAAUUAAUGUCAUAAACAUAAAUACAAUCCAAUUUAACCAUGUAAAUCAUGAAUUAUUAAGCUUGUAGUUUAAAAUGGGAUUCUCGGACUCUAGGGGUGAAAGGAACCCAUAGAUAAACCCCUAACAUACCUGAGAAAAUUAAUUCUUAAAGGUUCUUAGAGGGAUUCUUGAGAAUUGUUCUUGUUUUCUUGAAAACUAGGGUUUCCUAAUUGAGAGAGAAUGUUUUUAAUCUUGAGAAAAGUGAGUAAAUAAUGAUCUAAUAGGUUAUUUAGGGACUUCAUUUCGUGUUUAGGCUGAUUAGGGGUUUUGAGAUUUGACCAAACAGCCCCUGAAAUAAAAUCUUGGAAACUAAAAAUCCCAACUAGCGCAACAUAGUGAAAUCACUCCAACUCACUAGAAACUACACAACUGGGAACUGGAAGCUUGGCGCGAUGCGAUACCAUUCUAUCAUGACCCAAGGCCCUGGCCGCAUGGGGCAUCCCAAACCACACAGGCCCGAGAUACCCCUGUAUCUCCCCAACCCACUAGUGAUAUUGUCCGCUCUGGUCCCAGGCCUGCACAGCUUUAAAAUGUAUCACUAGGAAGUAAGUCUUUCUCACUUAUAUACCCAGCAUCCUUCUUGUGUUUUGCCGAUGUGGGACUCUUUUCUAAGUUAGGGUGUCACAUACACCCCCUUAUUGACUCAGCGUCCUCGCUGAAAUUUGCCCCACCAAAUAGGAUUUACAUACACUCAGUUUGAACUCUAGCCCACAUCGAUUGAGACGACAUAAGAGUGGCUCUAAUACCAUGUUGUAAAUUCCCAAAUUUGGGUCCCGAGAUAUCACACGGUGCUUCGGGUCACAAGUGACCCCAAGUUAACCCUUCUACUGGCAUAACUCAUAAGCAACUAAAUAAAAAGUAUAAAUCUAUACAAAUUUGUGGAAAAAUAACUCUUUUCUGAAUCCGAUUGAUACAAAACUGAAUUUUACAAGAUUACAAUUCUGCCUUUACAACCAAAACUGAAACUGAAUACAUCAACUUCUACUGACUGUCUAUGAAGCUUCUACUAGUACUGACUGUAGGUAGCCUGGUCAUGACUCCCGACUAUCCCAACUCAAUACGACUGAAUAAAGAAAAUACAACACUAUUAGUUCUGCAUAACUGACCCAAGCCCUUGAAUCAAAAGGACUCAUCACUUACUGACUAGAUACCACAAACUGACUGGAUCUUAAGAUGCAUACUAUACCUUAUACCUAUAUUCCAAGAAAACAUAGCCCACAUACAAAUAUGUGGGUCAGUACCAUGGAAAUGUAUCGAGCAUAUGGGGUUGCAAUGCAUACAUAAAAUAAUAUCUUAAUAUCAUCUCAGUUUAUAAAAUUAUGCAUGCUGAUAUAAAUGACUCACUUAGCUCAAAUUAAAUCAUCGAAAUCAUGGAUGAAAAAUACAUGCAAAGUAAAACAAGUGAGUCAUUACAAUAAGUUCUCAAUUCACUUCUUCUUUGAUUUCAAACAUGUAGAGCAAUCAAGUUUCAAAACAAUUCUCUUUAGAACAUAAUAUCUCAAUCUUUCAGAAAUAAUAACUUUCUCAGAACCAAUCUUUCAAAACAUAUACAUUCAUCUUAGAUAGGAGGGUACACACACGGACACGUUGGGAGUCUCUCAUAACCGACAUACACCAUGUAAGCUACAUGGAGUCCAACUUUCUACCCACGUUGAGGAAAGUUACCUUAUUCCUUGCCAUCAGAGUAGGACCUUAAAUUAUCAAUCCAAACAUUAGUGAUCACUAUGAAAAUCAGCCUCAAUUCUGGCUCCUACGGGGGAACGUAGUUCUAGGGAAGUACCAAACCCACUAUACCUCCCGCUCGGUGCUAAAGACUACUCCCAGACUUGGCUCAAAUCUUUUCAAAAGAAAAUCCACCAUAAAACAGUUCAACAAUUCACAAUAGGAGCCAUCAUGCUACCUCUUUCAUAAUGAAUCAAUAAAAGUGGAUUUCUUUUCUCAUCUCGGGUUCAAAAUCAACCCCAUUUUACGAUCGAAAGGUCAAAGCUUCUUUAUCUUUUCAAAUCAUUCAAAUUCAAGGUGUUUAUAACAUAUGUUUUCUCAAAAACAACAAUCCUAAAUAGAGUUCAAAACCCAUGUCUCAAUAUUACAUUAAAACUUAUCAAGAUUCAAGCUUUACAUCAUAAACACAUAUAAAUUUCUUCAAAAUUUGGAAAUUUCAGCUUUAAUCACAAAAUAUCAUUGUUCUCAUAUAAUUCCACUUUAAAAUAUCAAAAAUAUCAUAAUCUCAUGAGAAUCAAUAUAGGAUGUAAAUUCAUGCUUCAAAUUCAUAAUAAAACAUAUAAAAUUCAUAACUUCUUAAAAGAAAAAUAUUUUUGGGCACAAGAAUGAAAGGGUUUCCUUGUUGAAAACCCCACAUACCUUGAAAUUGAAGCUUUGGGUGAACUCUAAACCUUGGAACUCUAUUCGUUAAAAUAAUAGGUGCUUCUUGUAGCCCCCGGAAUGGGGAUUCCGAACCUCGAAGAAUUAUUGAAAACUCAUGGUUGACUCUUGAGAUAUUUGAAUUUUUAGGUUGAAACCCUAAUGAAUUUUCUUUGUGAUUUUGAGAGAAAGUAAACUUAUUUUGGUGUUAUGGGCGUUUAAUCCCGUGCUAUAGACAUAUAUAGGGGUGUUUUUGGCACUUGGAAGUGAGGUAUACGGCGCACAACCCAUGGAAGACCUUAAGGUGUGCGUCGCACACCUUAUGGAAGACAUAUAAAUGUGCCUCGCACUCCCAAUCCACACAUUUUAUUGGGUGGCGCAUUGCCCAUCGCACACCCUUACUGCCUCUCACAAAAAUGGGCAUAACUUUUCGCUCGGGAAUUGGAUUUUCACAAAAUUGGUAUCGUUGGAAAGCUAAUUCAAUUAUCUACAAUUUGAUAGGUCUUUGGAUGAAAAAUUUCAUGUAUAUUAAGAGAUAUACACGUUUGAAGUAGCCCCUUGUAGAAUCGAAUGCCAAACUUUAGAUAACUUAAUUGGUCUUAGCUUAACUUUGUUCUAGAUCAUUGCCAUGAACAUUUUUCACCUCUAAACUACUCCAUAGGCUAGGAUAAUGAUCAUGAAACUUGUAUUCACAAUCGACUCAUUUGGAUUAAAGCUUAGAUAUGUAGGAACGACGGUUAGAAUUUUAGCACGAAAAUACGGGGUAUUACAUUAUCUCCCCCUUGGAAACAUUCGUCCUUGAAUGUAGAUAAUUAACCUGAAACAUAGAGGAAUCUUUGUCUUUAAGCUGACAUGUGCAACUGAUAGAACUGAAUCACUAGAUCUCAAGAAUAAUGAACUUCUGAACUGGUUUGCAAGUGCAUGAAUCCUCAAGAAAAUAACUAUAUGGCUAAGAUAGAAACGAGAGUGUCAACUCAUGAGAAAGGAUGAGAGGUUUAUGACAUGAAAAUAUGGGCUAUUACAGCAUCCCCCUCUUGGGAUCGCUCAUCCCCAAAUGAUAAUAAUUUGGUGAGAAUACUAGGAAGAGAUUGUGAUACUACACAGGAUACUUACGAACUGAAUCAUGACUUAAUAUCUAAAUGAUAAUAAUUUGGUGAAAAUACUAGUAACACAUUGCCUCUUGGAAUGGACAUACGCAUGAGACUGCGGAUAGUAUGACUAGGUGGAAAAAUUAAGAAUCUAUAGGAGCUUAUCUACUUGCUUGCUAGACUGGAUUGCAGGCUAUAAGGACUGAAUCAUAUUCACUGCCCAUACUCAAAUGGAGUAUUUCUUCAGCAUUUUUCUAUGAAAUUCUAUUAACAUUACGGAGCAACGGAUUUAGGCAUGAUCUAAACAAAACAUCUAACUAAGGAAUCACAACAUUGAUAUAAAUCCAUAGCAUGAAAUAAAAAUAUAUAACUCAUAAACUAGGAUAGGAUUGCUAGGCUGCAGGCAAUGCAACUUCUUACUUUCAAGCUUAGCAUCACUUCUCAAAUGCUCUCUCAACUAUACUAUUCCCCUUAAAUACCAUACUAUUUGAUUCAACUUAUAAUUCUCACAUGGGCACUGAUAAAUCUUUCUGCAAGGUCUAAAGUAAACUAAGUCCUCUCGCCAAGGUCAAGACUAACUCAAAAAUCAUAAGAUACAACAUGCCACUCCACAAUACUAGUGUAAACCACACAAUUUAAUAUUCUAUAUCUUCUUAGAUCUCACACUCUAAGCAUAACAUGCCUUACCAUUUCAAUGACUAAUUCAAAACUCUUGAUAUGGAUUCACUAGCGGAUAUUGCAUUUAUCAUCUUACACCCAACAUGACAUUCAAGCCUAUCAUUAAAAAUCACAUAUAACUUUAAGGCAAAUACACAUAAAGGCAUACUUCACAUAUUUUCUAAACAUUUAUCAACAACAAUUUUCUUGCACUAUUCUUAAAAACAUACACAUAAUUUUCUAACUAACCAUGACAUGUAUCAAAGACUUGGCCUCAAUCUUACUUCACACUUUAGCCUUAGAUAGAAAAGCAUAAAUAAUCUUUCUUAAUGAGGGUCAUCAAGUCUCUCACAUCUAAACCAUUUCUUAUCCACUAUCUUCGCCACAAUCUUAACAUAGAAAGAGGUCACCGAAGGGCUAACACAUAUGAACUUGAAGCACGAAAACUAUAAUACAUAACAUUAACACUUAUCUUAGGCCUGAGGAAUAAAAUAACAAAGGCAUAGAUUCAUUAAAGAAAUCUAAGCUGAGGACAUGCAUGAUAUAAUGCUGACUUCACUAGUAUCAUGAGUUUAAAAACUGGUCAUACUCUGAAACAUGAGUUCAUACUUAUCAUGAGUUAUUCAACAUAAGACUGGAGUUCAUAGAUUCAUGAGAGAUAACUCGAAUCACAGAGUGAAGCUGUUACAUACCUCCUAGAAGCUGAGAAUGGGCUUGAGCAUACAUGAUGGGUAUAACCAUAGGCCUGUGGCAUGGAUUUAUCACGCAAGUGAUGGAUUUGGUGUUGUAAUGAGUAAAAUCCAAGGAAUACUCUAGAGUAAGAAGGGAUCACUAUCCCAUCAUAAAUCAUUGUUGACAUGAAUCACAAUCUAAUUCUCAAAACUUGGUUUGGUUCUUCACUAACCAUCUCCCCCUUAGGUCAAAGCUGGUAUUCUAAGCAUGAUGGUCUACUACAUAUCGUCGAGAUUAAGACAUAAUUUAAUUGUUCUAAUAUCUACACAUAAAUGCUAAACUCAUAAGAAUAAACUAAUUUCAAACUUACCAACUUCAUUCUUGAACAACCCAUCCAUAUAUCAUCCUUAAUUUCUAUCUUCAAUAAUCAUCAUCAAAGACUUACACUCUCAUUCACAACUAUACCUACAUCUCUAAUCACAUAAUCAUAGCCUACCAAGAUCACACUUCUAUACUUAUACUUUUCCCAAACCAUGAGAAUAAUAAUCAUACAUAAAAGGCUCAAAAUCUUCAAUCAUAACUCCUUACCUUAGCUAUCAAGAACAUUAUAAAUUAUCUAACUAGCCUUUCUCCACCUUCAACUCAACGUUACUACUAACCACAUAAUAUACAAUAAUCCUCAAAAAAUAAUGCAUCCCCAUAGCACCUUGGGCAUACCUCUACAUCAUACUUAAUUGUGAACACAUGAUCUUACACUCUUGCAUACACUGUUCAGGCCUACUAGAUCACCUCUAUAUAACUAGAAUCAACAACCGAACCAUCAAUUGUUCAAACUUAAUGUAUAGUGCUAAACAUGGUUUACAACCAAAUCUCACACACAAUUCUCACUUCAAAAUUAUAGAACACAGCAUUAAGAAAAACUAGUACACAAUGACAAUCGAUCGUAAUCAUAUGACCUAUCUUAUUCAUAAUCCGUUAACACAUCCUCCUUCUUCACAUCAUUACUAUUUACCCAUCUUCACACCUAAAUUACUUUCAUAGCUCUAUAAAUUUCAACUAACUUCCUCUUGCAAUCUCAGGAAAGCCUAAAUUAACAAUACUCAACCACCAAGUACUUUUACUAAUAAACUGUACUUUUCUAGCACUACAAACACCAUCAACAACCCUUUUCAUACUUCAAGCGAACAACAAUCCAUCUUAACUAAUAAUCCCUUUCCCUAACUUCACUAAACUAACAAACAAAGGUAUAUCACUUCAUUAAUAAUUCAAGCAUAAGCAACAAAAUUAAGCUAUACAUAUUCAAUAAAUCGCUCUUACCACAUUUCUUGUCACUACACUUCUAAACCCACACUUUCAACUAACACAAGAACAACAAGAUAGACAACAGUUGCUAGUGAAUAGAAAUAGGCCUCAAACAGCUUCACUAGACUUUGAUUUUGUGUUUUGAACAAGAAAAUUAGAUGAAUAACAAAGCAACUAUGCUAGUGAGUCAAAAUAGGCCCCACACAAUUUCACUAGACUUUGAUUUUCAAAAACACCAUGAUAAUAAGAUUACAUAAUACAAGGGAUAGAAACUUGACACAAUAUUCAAUGAUCUAAGAAUAAACAUCUUACUCAGUCUUAACUAAACAAUUCAUAAGAACGAGGGCAUAACUUUAAAUUUGACGAACUUAUAACACUAGAAGGCUCCUCUCAAGCCGCUUUGUGUAAUUCUGAAACUUCUGCAAGCAACCAUAAGAGCAUUAUCUGGGGUGGAACUGUAACUUAUUGAUCGUGCUAUCUCAAGAAUAAUACAUAGAUAGGGAAGUAUAGAUUUACAUUAUGGAUUCUGGGAAAAAAUCUGAAAGCACAUCUGACUUGGGUUUACUGCACGACUUCUCAUGAAUAUGAAUAAAGUAUUUCAAACUUUGGAACUUAAAAGCACUGAUGGGAUACUUUCUAGCCCACUUAUAACCUCAUAACUAUCUAUGGAGAAUUAGGCUUGACUAUUUUUGGUACCUUAAAAAUAAGGCAGAGAUGGCCAGAAUAGAGUAAGAUGAGAAUUUAUAUAAGUUUCUUAGAGAACCUUUUUAUGGCACGGUCUGAGACUUGAAAGAAAGUGAACACUUCCUAAAUGCCCUGUAGCCUCUCGAAGAAAAGUACAGACAUCUCCAUACCGUUCUGCAAGACUCUACUAGACAUGGCUUCACAGAAACCCUAGGACACUUAAACUUUGCGCUCUGAUACUAAGUUUGUAACAACACAAAAUUGGGUCCCGAGACGUCACACGGUGCUUAGGGUCACAAGUGACCCCAAGUUAACCCUUCUACUGGCAUAACUCAUAAGCAAUUGAAUAAAAAGUAUAAAUCCAUACAAAUUUGCUGAAAAAUAACUCUUUUCUGAAUCUGAUCGAUACAAAACUGAAUUUUACAAAAUUACAAUUCUUCCUUUACAACCAAAAUUGAAACUAAAUACAUCAACUUCUACUGACUGUCUAUGAAAUCUCUACUAGUACUGAAUGUAGGUAGCCGGGUCAUGACUCCCGACUAUCUCAACUCAAUACGACUGAAUAAAGAAAAUACGACACUAUUAGUUCUGCAUAACUGACCCAAUCCUUUGAAUCAAAAGGACUCAUUACUUGUUGACUGGAUACCAUGAACUGACUGGAUCUGAAGCUGCAUCCUAUACCUUGUAACAAUAUUUCGAGAAAAUGUAGCCCACAUGAGAAUAUGUGGGUCAGUACCAUGGAAACGUACCGAGCAUAUGGGGGUGCAAUGCAUAUAUAAAAUAAUAUCUUAAUAUCCUCUCAAUUUAUAAAAUUAUAUAUGCUAAUAUAAAUGGCUCACUUACCUUAAAUUAAAUCAUCAAAAUCAUGGAUGAAUAAUAUAUGUAAAGUAAAACAAGUGAGUCAUUACAAUAAGUUCUCAGUUCACUUCUUCCUUGGUUUCAAACAUAUAGAUUAAUCAAGUUUCAAAAUAAUUCUCUUUUGAACAUAAUAUCUCAAUUUUUUGAAAAUAAUAACUUUCUUAGAACCAACCUUCAAAACAUAUAAAUUCAUCUUAGAUAAGAGGGUACACACACGCACACAUUGGGAGUCUCUCAUAAUCGAUAUAAACCAUGUGAACUGCAUAGAGUCCAACGUUCUACCUACGUUGAGGAGAGUCGCCCUAUUCCUUUCCAUCGGAGUAGGACCUUAAAUUAUCAAUCCAAACACUAGUGAUCACUAUGAAAAUCAGCCUUAAUUCUGAAUCUUAUGGGGGAACAUAAUUCUAGGGAAGUACCAAACCCGCUAUACCUUCCGCUCGGUGCUAAAGACUACUCCCAGACUUAUCUCAGAUCUUUUCAAAAGAAAAUCAACCAUAAAACAGUUCAACAAUUCACAACGGGAGCCAUCAUGCUACCCCUUUCGUAAUGAAUCAAUAAAAGUGGAUUUCUUUUCUCAUCUCGGGUUCAAAAUCAACUCCUUUUUACGACUAAAAGGUUAAAGCUUCUUUAUCUUUUCAAAUCAUUCCAAUUCAAGGUGUUUAUAACACAUGUUUUCUCAAAAACAACAAUCUCAAAUAGAGUUCAAAACCCAUGUCUCAAUAUUACAUUAAAACUUAUCAAGAUUCAAGCUUUACAUCAUAAACAUAUAUAAAUUUCUUCAAAAUCUAAAAAUUUCAGUUUUAAGCACAAAAUAUCAUUGUUCUCAUAUAAUUCCACUUCUAAAAUAUCGAAAAUAUCAUAAUCUCAUGAGAUUAAAUAUAGGAUGUAAAUUCAUGCUUCAAAUUCAUAAUAAAACAUAUCAAAAUCCAUAACUUUGUAAAAGAAAAAUAUUUUUGGGCACAAGAACGAAAGGGUGUCCUUGUUGAAAACCCCAUAUACCUUUAAAUUGAAGCUUUGGGUGAAUUCUUAACCUUAGGACUCUAUUCGUGAAAAUAAUAGGUGCUUCUUGUAGCCCCAGAAUGGGGAUUCCGAACCUCAAAGAAUUAUUGAAAACUCAUGGUUGAGUUUUAAGAUAUUUAAAUUUUUAGGUCAAAACCCUAAUGAAUUUUCUUUGUGAUUUUGAGAGAAAGUAAAUUUAUUUUGGUGUUAUGGGAGUUUAAUCCCGUGUUAUAGACAUAUAUAGGGAUGUUUUUGGCACUUAAAAGUGAGGUAUGCGGCGCAAAACCCGUGGCAGACCUUAAGGUGUGCGUCGCACACCUUAUGGCAGACAUAUAAGUGUGACUCACACUCCCAAUCGCACACAUUUGAUUGGGUGACGCAAUGCCCAUCGCACAUCCUUAUUGCCUCUUACAAAAAUUGGCAUAACUUUUCGCUCAGGUAUUGGAUUUUUGCAAAAUUGGUAUCGUUGGAAAGAUAAUUCAAUUAUCUACAAUUUGAUAUUUCUUGAGAUGAAAAGUUCCAUUUAUAUGAAGAGAUAUACAUAUUUGAAGUAGUCCCUUGAGGAAUUGAAUGUCAAACUUUAGAUGAAUCAAUUGGUCUUAGCUCAAGUUUGUUCUAGGUCAUUGCCAUGAACAUUUUUCACCUCUAAACUACUCCAUAGGCUAGGAUAAUGAUCAUGCGAAUUGUAUUCAUAUUCGAAUCAUUUGGAUUAGAGCUUAGAUGCAUAGAAAUGAUGUUUCAAAUUUUAGCACAAAAAUACAAGUUAUUACAAUCGUGGUACCCCUACUGUAUGUAAAUUUAACCCUUGACGCGAUGCCCCAUGAUUGUGGAGUCAUACUGGAUAAUGACACUUGGGAAAUUGGCUGGUGGCAUAAUGCAGUGGGAUCAUGAUGGCUCAUUAGAUUUUGACAAUCACCAUUUGCACCCUCUUUGCGAUGCGGUGAAGUACCAAGUGGUACACUGUUUUACUAAAAAUGCUAUAACUUUUCGCUCAGGUAUCAAAUUUGGGCAAAUUUUAUAUCAUUGAAAAGCUAACUAAAUUUUCUACAUAAUGUCAGGUCUUAAACUGAAUAAUUCUAAGUAUUUUAAAAAUUUAUAUAGGAAUGCUCAUAUACUGAGGGUUGAACUAAGCUAGAGAAAUAUGGAGUAUUACACUAAUAGGUCUCAAGUCUGAAAAAUCGUUCACAUUAUCCUUAUAAGAAAGUAACACUAAAUUGGUAUGAGUAAUAAACUUUGACAAUUCUUAUCCAUAGAAAAUGACUCUUAACAAUUUAGUCAUAUCUUCACCUAUGAUGUCCCAACUUUUCUAAAAAUAAAAACUUGAGAAACCAUCUGGGUCACAUGCACUUUCUCCAUUAAUUUCGAAGGCCAUUACUUUAAACUCUUCUUAAUUUGGAAACCUUGUCAUUUCCUCAUUCUACUUCUCUAUUAUUAUUUUUGGAAGGCACUACAACAUACUCUAGUCUUGACUUAUGCCUUCCUCUUUAAAUUAUUCAUUGAAGAAUGUAACAGCUUCCUCCCUAAUUUCGUGGUUGGUUUGAAAAAUUGCACCUUGAUUAUUGAUAAUUUAGGCUAUGUGAAGAUUCUUCCUUCUACCCUUAACAAAUAUGUGAAAGAACUUUGAGUUUUUGUCAUCUUCCUCAAACCACUUCAUUCUUUCUUUUUGUUUCCAAAAUUCCUCCUCCAACCUCAACAGUUUUUCAACUCAGCUUCUACUUUACAUAACUUAGCUCUAUUAUUAGUUAAUCGCAUUACCUCUAAUUGAGCUUCCUUCACUCUUAUCAUAUCAUCUAAACUAUCAAUGUUCUAAAAAAUUUUACCUUAAAUUGCCUUACUCCAUACUGAUAAAGUUUUUUUUAAUAUUUUUCAAUUUGAUUUGGAAUUCUAUAAAAGGAUUCCCCAAAAAAUCCACCUUCCAGUGUUACUGCACAACAUCCUUAAAUUGUGAGUGUUUAGCCCAAAAAUUAAGGAAUCUAAAUUGCUUGGUUGUAGGUUCUUCUGUAGAAUCACAAACCAAAUGGCAUGGUGCAUGAUCUAAGCCCAGUCUUAUUAGAUGAUGAACCAUUAUAGAAGGAAAUAGAUCCAAGCAUGCUUGGUUUACUAAAAUUUUAUCCAAUCUUUUAAAUAUACAUUCCUCCUUAAUUCUCCCAUUCCACCAAGUAUAUGUACUUUCAAUAAAACCCACAUUGAACAACACAUAAUUGUUUAUACAUAAAUAGAAAUGAGUAGCUUACUGCUGAGUGAAAGGAAGUCCACCUAGCUUUACUUCUUCUGAAAGUAUUAAAUUAAAAUCUCCUCCUACUAUUCAUGGAUUUUGGUUAGACUCUGCAAUAUGCUUCAGUUCUUUUCAUAGUUCUAACCUCUAUAAUGCAUUGCAUCUUGCAUAUAUAGAAGUAAUACAAAAAUCUUUACCAUCUUUGAACUGCCUGGAUAUCUGCUACAUAAAAUCCAAAAUGACAUGGGCUUCCUAAUCAUUUUCUCAGAAAAUUCAAAUUUUGACUGAAUAGUUGGUCAAAGAAUUUGUAAAAGCUAGCUUUCUUUUUUAUUAUUCCAGCUCCUAUGGAUUCUGAAAAUUCUCUAACAAAGCUAUAAAUGAAUAAUGGUGUUUUCUAUUUAAAUAAAUUAACCUCUUAAAUAAAUUUUGAGUGUUAACUGAUCUUAAUUCUAGAAAAUCAUUUUCUUUAACAUUGAUCACUAUUUGAUGAUUUAUCUUUGCUCCUUAUUCUAACUUGAAGUGGCAAUAGUGAUAUGCCUUUCCUUGCUCCUUUUUUCAAGCUAUUAAUAUAUCUAGGAGAUAAGUAUCCUGUCUUGCUUAUCUACUGAAUAUUUUUGUCUAAUUCUUCAUUUUUAUCUUCAUCCCUUCUCACCCCUAUCUGUUCAUCAGUCUCUUCAACUAAAUCAGGAACUUCUUUAGUAUUUUUCUGCUUUACAGUGUUGUUUUUACUUUCUUGACCAUGUUGAUUAUGUUGCUGCUAUAUAUUUGGUGGCGAUUGUUCUACACUUUUAUCAUUUUCCUUCAACAUUUUCAUAGUAGUCUCUCCCACCCUGCUUAUACAAGGACUGCCACUUCUCUGCUCUUUGUUUUCAUGGCUACAUUAUAGAUUUAGCUGUGAUGAAUGUGCCUUUUCCUUUCCUUUAUUACCACCAUUAAGCAUUGAAUCCUCCAACCUAAUGGGUGUUGAACUUUGGUUUGUAUUCUCCUGUCCUUUUAUCUUUUUAAAAUCAUCCUUUUUAUUUUCCAUUGUGUUCUUUCCUUCUACUGUUGAUUUCUCCUUUACUUCUACCUUAUUUUUCUCCAUGUCUUCUAGAGCUUCAAACUGAUUAUCUGUAGCUGGAUCAACCCUAUUCCAUAUUAUUUGUUCUCUUUCUCUUAUUCUCCCACUACCUUUUUUUAUUUCUUUGCACUUUAAACUCUUCUUCAUUAUUGCACUUCCUUUGAUCCUUAUUUUUCUGUUAUUCUUUAUUGUUGUUCUUUUCAUUCUCUAUAUCUUUCUGCCCUUGUUGAGUUUACCCUUAUUCUCUUUAUCUUUUUUGUGAUAUAAUUCUUGAUACAACACAUAGCAUUAUUGUUCAUUAUUCCCUUGGAUCAUACAAUUCUUACAGUAUUUUGAGACAUAAUCAUACUCUAUUCUAAUUCAUUUUUCUACAGCUUCUCCAUUUUUACUUCUUCAUGGCAAUGCUAAUGCUCUUUGGGAACUCACCUAGUAUAUCAAAUUCUACUUUAAGUCUUGCACAAAUUGGCCUUAUUUGAUUUUUGGUAGCUAUGUCUACUUGUAAUGGUCACCCACUGCUGUUGCCAAUGAGAAAACUAUCUCUCUACAAAAAAUAUUUGGUGGAAGAGAAGGGAAUGAGAUCCAUGCAAUGACUAUUGUAGUUUUUUCUUCAAGAUCCAACAUGGGAACCCAUUUUAAUGCUCUCAUUGGGUAAGAUCAAUUUUGAUGAUUAAUGUAAAAUGUUGAUUUUGAUAAAAAAAAAUACAUAUAAUCUUCUAGCUGAGUAGCCCUAAUGAGCACAUCUAUGUUGUUUAACAAACCAAUGUUAUAUUUUUCUUUUAAUUCACAUAGUUUAGGAAUAAGAUUUUCUCAGAUAUUAAGUAUUUGGUCAGCCGUAAGAUAAUUUACCUAUCACAGCAUAUUGAGGAUUUUCAUUGUCAAUCAUUUGAUCUACCUUUUUUUGUUCCCAUACAAUUCUAGGUUCACCAUGCCGAUAUGAAAUAGUUUAAGUGGUAUCAAUUUUAUGAUGAACGGAGUAGGUUUCAGAACGUAGCAUAAGUAGUAUUUGGUAUGGAUUCGAUGUUGAUAGACCAAUCUAUGUGGGAGGUUGGUCAGAAGUCGGAGUGGCCAAAGCCAGCAUGGCCAUUUGCCACCAAUUCAAAUAGUGUAUUAAGGUUUAUGGGAUGUAGAAUUUUUGGUAGAGAGCAUUUUUUUUUUGCCAAGAAUCACUUUUUCCAAAAAAUACCGAACCAAAAUUAUUUUCAUUUAAAUUCUAAAAAUAAAAAAUAAUUACCAAUCUAAUCUACCAUUUUUUGUUGUUUCUUCCACAUGCUCGUAGUACACCCUUUUUCUUUUAGUUUAUAUUCCUUAACUUAUAUCUCUAAAGUAUUUAAAUAUCAUCAACUUCUCAUGUUUUUUUUACUAUUUUGGACAUUUUUUCAACCUCUGCUUCUGAAUUUUUUGUGCCAAUAUGACCAUUUAAUGGCUUUUCUAUGAUAUUUGUAAUUCUCUUAAGAAAUCUAGAAGAUCUCAUUCACCUCUCUGCUAACAGCUUUUCUAUGAUUUAUAUGAGAUCAGUUCUAAAAAUAAUUAAUUCAAUGAUAUAAUUAAUGCACAAUUGUCUAUGUUACAAUUCUAAAGAAGAGACUGGCCAUGACUAAAGUUUUGUACCAUAGCGUGAUAUGAAAUAAUACAAAUCUUCUAAGAACUCACCUAUGAACUUUAAUUUCUAUGCCAUUUUUGAAUUGUAACUUGAUAAUGAAAAUUACACACCUCUUUUAAAAACUCACCUACUAACUUUAAUUUUCAUAACUUCAUCUGUUUUUCUCCAGCUUUUGCAUGGUAAAAUGUUGAUAUAUUCUUUCUUUUCCUUGGUAGAAGUAAAUAAAUUUUAGUAUGCAAAAAAGGAUUUUGGAAUAUAUAUAUAUAUAUAUAUAUANNNNNNNNNNNNNNNNNNNNNNNNNNNNNNNNNNNNNNNNNNNNNNNNNNNNNNNNNNNNNNNNNNNNNNNNNNNNNNNNNNNNNNNNNNNNNNNNNNNNNNNNNNNNNNNNNNNNNNNNNNNNNNNNNNNNNNNNNNNNNNNNNNNNNNNNNNNNNNNNNNNNNNNNNNNNNNNNNNNNNNNNNNNNNNNNNNNNNNNNNNNNNNNNNNNNNNNNNNNNNNNNNAUAUAUUGAACUGAUGAACCCUAAUAAAACAAAUGCAAUCCAAAUAGAAAAAAGAAGUUUCUCACGUGUGAAUUCAUCAACAAAGCAUUGACCAUGAUGGCAAAAGCAUUAUGCAUGUAUACAAUAGCUUGGAAAAAAAAUGAUUUCCUGUUAUCUACAACUACAUCUACGUCUUUAAUACCCCAUAUUUUCUUAGCAUAAUUUAGGUCUCAAUACAUGAGUAUUCAUAUAUAUAUAUAUAAUUUUUAAAAUAAUUGUUAUUUCUUAGUUUAGAGCCCACCAAGUUGUGAGAAAUUAAACUAGCUUUCCAAAGAUAUAAAAUUUACCUUCAUCCGAUAACAGAGUAAGAAGUUAUGGCGAUUUUAAGUUUCCGUCGUAAAACACCGUGAUUUAGGAUCGUAGCGCAUCACGGAGAAGUGUAAAAUCACAACUGUUAAAUUUCAGUGAGACUCCAUAAUUCCACCGUGUCAUGGUGAUAUCCCAUCUCAUAAUUAUCCCUUUCCAGUGAGAUUCUGCGAUUUAACCGCGUCACAGUGAUGUCCCAUCUCACAAUUGUCCCUUUCCAGUGAAGCUCCGCAAUCAUGGCGCAUCGGGGAGGUGGCCAAAAUGGCAUUCCAAAGGCAUACCGCAACUUCACCGCAUCGCACCAAACUUUUAGGUCCUAAUUGUCAAUUUCUAGUGGCCCAAUGCAAUAGCGCCGCGUCGCACCGGAGCCAAAGUUCAAGAUUUUCAUCUUUCAGUUCCAAGUUUUUAAAUUUGUUUAAGGGUAUUUGGGUCUUUUUUUCAUGGUCCUAAUCAGCCUAAAAUACGAGAUUUAACCUAUUAGUGACCUAAAUAAUCAUCAUUAUUCAAUUUCUCUUAAAUUGAAGAUCCUAUUCUCAAGAACAAAAACCCUAGCUCUCAAAUUCAAGGUUAA
rnacentral:lncRNA from 1 species